AACGCGAAGAACCUUACCUGGGUUUGAACUGCAAGAGACAGGUGCAGAGAUGCACCCUCCCUUCGGGGCUCUUGUGGAGGUGCUGCAUGGCUGUCGUCAGCUCGUGUCGUGAGAUGUUGGGUUAAGUCCCGCAACGAGCGCAACCCUUGCCAGUAGUUGCCAGCGGGUAAUGCCGGGAACUCUACUGGGACUGCCGGUGUUAAACCGGAGGAAGGUGGGGAUGACGUCAAGUCCUCAUGGCCCUUAUGUCCAGGGCUACACACGUGCAACAAUGGUCGGUACAAAGGGUUGCCAAGCCGUGAGGUGGAGCUAAUCUCAAAAAACCGAUCUCAGUUCGGAUUGUAGUCUGCAACUCGACUACAUGAAGUAGGAAUCGCUAGUAAUCGCGGAUCAGCACGCCGCGGUGAAUACGUUCCCGGGCCUUGUACACACCGCUCGCGA
rnacentral:rRNA from 1 species